rnacentral:rRNA from 1 species
UUAGUGGCGGACGGGUGAGUAACGCGUGGAUAACCUGCCGUAUACCGGGGGAUAACACUUAGAAAUAGGUGCUAAUACCGCAUAAGCGCACGGCUCCGCAUGGGGCAGUGUGAAAAACUCCGGUGGUAUACGAUGGAUCCGCGUCUGAUUAGCUAGUUGGCGGGGUAACGGCCCACCAAGGCAGCGAUCAGUAGCCGGCCUGAGAGGAAGGCCCCCCACACUGGUACUGAGACACGGACCAGACUCCUACGGAAGGCAGCAG